rnacentral:rRNA from 1 species
AGAAUCAACGCUGGCGGCGUGCCUAACACAUGCAAGUCGAACGAGAAAGUGGAGCAAUCCACGAGUACAGUGGCGCACGGGUGAGUAACACGUGACUAACCUACCCUUGAGUGGGGGAUAACCUAGAGAAAUCUGGGCUAAUACCGCAUAAUACCUUCGGGUCAAAGGAGCAAUUCGCUUAAGGAGGGGGUCGCGGCCGAUUAGUUAGUUGGCGGGGUAAUGGCCCACCAAGACUAUGAUCGGUAUCCGGCCUGAGAGGGCGCGCGGACACACUGGAACUGAAACACGGUCCAGACUCCUACGGGAGGCAGCAGUGGGAAUUUUGCGCAAUGGGGGAAACCCUGACGCAGCAACGCCGCGUGGAGGAUGAAGCCCCUUGGGGCGUAAACUCCUUUCGAUCGGGACGAUAAUGACGGUACCGAGAGAAGAAGCCCCGGCUAACUUCGCGCCAGCAGCCGC